AAUCCAUGAUGGGGACAUCUCAAAAGUAAAUCCUUAAAUUUUUCCCAACUCUCAUAGAACUUCUCAUGCUCCUCUUGAGUGAAAUCAGUUAUCUCACGACGAAGGGC